GCUCUCAUAGCUCAGCAGGAUAGAGCGUAGGUUUCCUAAACCUAAGGUCACAGGUUCGAAUCCUGUUGAGAGCGCCA
rnacentral:tRNA from 1 species